AUUACCUGGUCAAUUCUCAACAAUUCCUUAACAGUGACUGUGUGUCCAGGUGGUCCAUAAAGAAAUACUAAAGAGGUACUUCAGCUUCAGUGAUAUCGUUAGUAUUAAAGAUAUUAUGAUUAUUGGCUUAGAAUAAAUUAUAGCCAUAAGUAUAAAUGUCUGGAGUUUAUUCUUGGAACAUGAAGUCAGUAAAUUGUUGUCUUGCAAACUAUAGGCUGAAAAAACAAAGUUGGAUCAAUCUGCCGUAUUGUAGAUUCUAAGAGUGCUCAGAUCACUGUUUAGUGAAUAGAUUUUUAAAUUCCAUGUCAAACAUUCUAUGCU